rnacentral:hammerhead_ribozyme from 1 species
AUCCAGCUAACGAGUUCGGAAUAGAACGUAACGUGCGUCCUGGAU